UUCUGUCACUGAUGAUGCUGAGGGCUGAAGGAGGAGGAGCAUGUCUAACAUGCUCCCUCACGGUUCGCACAAUUCCCAGCACAGGAACCGCAAAGGAGCAUAGUAGACAUGCUCCUCCUCCUUCAGCCCUCAGCAUCAUCAGUG
rnacentral:miRNA from 1 species